AGAUCACAAGAUGAUCGGGUCCUCGGCAUGGAAGACGAGCGAACGACGUUAUGAUCUUCAACUAUAUAGGGCCGCUCGCUUGGUCGUUCCGUGGGGCCCGUCCUUCUCUUCUCCCGUUGAGGUUGUUCCCGAGGUUGUGACUAACUUUCAUCCUCCUCCUCGAAAGAGGUCGUUCGGUCGCUCGUUCUUUCCACCUCGCGGGGUGGAAGAGUAACGACGACGUCGAUCCUCGUAGGUGCGAGAUGUUAGCGCGUCCUCCUCACCAACAAGGGCUUCCUCGUCUCGGGUGGAGGGUCUAGUGAUGACUCUGGAUAACAGUGCCGAGCGCUAAGGUCUUCGAACCGGCGCCGUGUCUUUCAAGUGCCUGCCUUAUCAGCUCUCGACUGUACGAUAUACGUCUACAGUGGCUGUAACGGGUAACGGGGAAUCAGGGUUCGAUUCCGGAGAGGGAGCCUGAGAAACGGCUACCACAUCUAAGGAAGGCAGCAGGCACGCAAAUUACCCACUCCUGGCACGGGGAGGUAGUGACGUGAAAUAACGAUGCGGGACUCUUCCGAGGCCUCGCAAUCGGGAAUGAGUUAACUUUAAU
rnacentral:rRNA from 1 species